rnacentral:misc_RNA from 1 species
AAGUCGUAACAAGGUUUCCGUAGGUGAACCUGCGGAAGGAUCAUUAGUGAAGCUCGGAACGUUGCGCUCGGUCUGAAGCUGGUCGGCAACGACAUGUGCUCGUCCGGCGUGCGUCCCUUCUCUAUCCACCCCCUCUGUGAACCAAGUGCGAGGUCCGAAGAGAAAUCGGAGGGCUCCGUGCAUACCUUACAUACCCCGAGAAUGUAUCAGAAUGUAUCAGCGUUCAAUCGCAAAAAUACAACUUUCAACAACGGAUCUCUUGGCUCUC